UCAAAAUAGAAACCAUACUCACAAUUAAAUUAAAGUUAAACACAUUAUUAUAUAAAUUUAGUCAGUAACAUUUCUUGAAAUUAUAUAAGUCAAUCAAUAGCACAAAGCGAAACAUUCAAUACAUAACCCGUCGAUGGAUCCUCAGAUUCUAAAUGUUUUUAAAAAAGAAUAUUUACACGACCUUAAUUAUUUUGCUAUAAACCUCGUUAAGAUUCUCCGUAUCCUUCUGUGAAUUUAUGUUGUUAUUAAGUUUUUUAAUAUAAAACAUUUCGCUAACUCUCUCUUCUAGUGUUUUUCCGUAUGUAAAAUGUUAAAUUUUUUCCAAUCAAAGUCAUGUUCAAAUUCAAAUCGGUGUUUGCUUAUAACUGAAUGUGAACUAUAAUGCAAUUUUAUAUUAUUACAAUGCUCCUUUACCCGUGUACUACGAUGUCUUUUUAUUUUUCCUAUAUAAGUAGCGGAGCAAUUCUUACAAUCAAUCUUAUAGACAACAUUUGUUGCAUUGUCGUUAGAUAAAACAUCUUUGCCCACCUUUAUAAUGUUAUCCAGUUUUUUCGGUAAACUAUAAACAACAUUCAUAUCAAAUUUCCGUAAAGAAUGUGAAAUACUAUUGCUAAAAUUGUUCACAUAUGGUAUCGAAAUAUAAGGUGUUUUUAUCUGUGAUGUACAUAAAUUUUCAUCAUUACUAAUAGAACUUUUGUUAUAUUUUAAGAAAUUAAUUCUUUUAUACAAUAUAUAAAACGAUUGAUUAUGUCGAUGGGGAAGCAAUUAUUUCGUAAAAUAUUUUUAAUUAUCUAUAUGUUUUCUUCAUGAAACCGCCUAUCGGAUAAUAAUUGCGUGGUCCACUAAAUUAUAAAUUGUGUUAAUUUUUUAUUUAAAAGGGCGACUAGAAUGAAAAUUAAUGUAUCUGCCUGACCACGUAGGUUUUCUAUACCAAUUUGUUAUUAGUUUGUUAUCAUCCCGACACAAAGUAACAUUUAAGAAAAUUAGUGAUGAAUUACAUUCUAUGUCACAAGUGAAUUUUCAAACGCUCAUGAUAAUUAUUGAAUGUAGACAAAACCACAUCUGUUUUUUUAAUAGGUAUUAUGGCAAAUAUGUCAUCUACAUAUCUUGUGACUUGGCUUUUUGUGCCCGUCACAAGGGUGGACGCGCCCGGCCGGGAAGAGUUGGAGAGCGCUCCAAAAAUUUCGUGUAUUUUGCGGGCGAGCGGCGAACUCUUCGCCGGCUCGCCCCUACUCGGUAACGAAAGUUGAGGUGGUGGGCCAGGAGGAUUAGAUUGUUUUAAAAAAAAGAGGACCCCGAAGAAUUAAGAAGGGAAGACCAUGAUGCGGGAGGAACGGAGGUUGAGCGCCCGGCCCGGUGAGUAAUCGAAAGAAUAAAAUUAUACACGGUACCGAGUCGCAUAAGAAUAGGAUACUGCCAAAACGAUUUUUACAGCCUCGGGGAGUCAAUCACCAGCAAUCCGAAUAAGGGAAGGAAAGGCGCCUGCAUCCCUCCACGAGGAUGACUAUCCUGAGAGGCCCGCUGUCGCAUGUCGAGAGGACCUGGAGAUCGUCCGGGACUGAUCACCCCGGCAGGUCAAGGCCGUAACGAACAUCAUCCGGCGGCCGUACGAGGUGCAAACGGAGCAGCCGAGAACGGAGCUGCGACCUCGCGAGCGAAGGCGAGAAUUUAAAAGUGGCGGCAGGAAAUGCGCGACCAGCCACGGAAAGGGGAAAUCGAUUUGAGGAUCAAUUAUAGGCAAUGCCGCCGCGAAGCGUGGCAACUAAGCCAGAGUGACGCGCACUUCUCUUUCUCCCGGCGUAACCACCGACGUUCCGCCGACCCAAAUCGGAAUCACUGUUCGACGAGCUGGUGUCUCGAACGCGUCACGGACCAGUGACUUACAUCCUGCGGCGACAUCGAAAUAUUCCGUUCUACUAAUUUAGAUGUUUGCAUCUUUCCAUAAUUGAAUGAAAUCUUUUGUGAUCAAGACAAUGGUAUUUCUAAAUAAAUUGUUGAACGUACAAUCAGGCAAUUUGAAUCCGACCAGGCAACCUCCAUGUGUUUCAACACCCUGUAUAUAUUACGUGCAAUAAAAACAUCAGUUAUGUAAAGAACGAGCUACAUUGGGAACGAGUUUGCUCCUUUUUAUUAUGCAGAACAACAUUCUAUGUGCGUAAUGAUAAUGAUACGUGAUGCAAGUGCUAAUCGUGUAUGAAAAAUAACUUUUUUAUUUAUAUUGCUGACAGUUCAUUGAGUCAACUUAAAGAGAUUACACUAAUUUUUAUAAGUGUAUCAGUAAGUUCUCGAGAUUGAUCUACAAAUGUGAAAUAAAACAAAAUAAAUAUAACAAUAAAUUCUCAGUUGUCUAACAUAUGU